CCUACGGGGUGCAGCAGUGGGGAAUAUUGGACAAUGGGCGAAAGCCUGAUCCAGCCAUGCCGCGUGUGUGAAGAAGGCCUUCGGGUUGUAAAGCACUUUCAGUGGGGAAGAAAGCCUUGGGGCUAAUACCCUCGAGGAAGGACAUCACCCACAGAAGAAGCACCGGCUAACUCCGUGCCAGCAGCCGCGGUAAUACGGAGGGUGCGAGCGUUAAUCGGAAUUACUGGGCGUAAAGCGCGCGUAGGCGGUCUGAUAAGCCGGUUGUGAAAGCCCCGGGCUCAACCUGGGAACGGCAUCCGGAACUGUCAGGCUAGAGUGCAGGAGAGGAAGGUAGAAUUCCCGGUGUAGCGGUGAAAUGCGUAGAGAUCGGGAGGGAUACCAGUGGCGAAGGCGGCCUUCUGGACUGACACUGACGCUGAGGUGCGAAAGCGUGGGUAGCAAACAGGAUUAGAUACCCGAGUAGUC
rnacentral:rRNA from 1 species